GAUGAACGCUAGCUACAGGCUUAACACAUGCAAGUCGAGGGGAAACGAUAUUGGAAGCUUGCUUCUGAUAGGCGUCGACCGGCGCACGGGUGAGUAACGCGUAUCCAACCUGCCCAUCACUUGGGGAUAACCUUGUGAAAGUAAGACUAAUACCCAAUGACGUCUCUAGAAGACAUCUGAAAGAGAUUAAAGAUUUAUCGGUGAUGGAUGGGGAUGCGUCUGAUUAGCUUGUUGGCGGGGUAACGGCCCACCAAGGCGACGAUCAGUAGGGGUUCUGAGAGGAAGGUCCCCCACAUUGGAACUGAGACACGGUCCAAACUCCUACGGGAGGCAGCAGUGAGGAAUAUUGGUCAAUGGACGAGAGUCUGAACCAGCCAAGUAGCGUGCAGGAUGACGGCCCUAUGGGUUGUAAACUGCUUUUANAAGGGAAUAAAGUGGGAGUCGUGACUCUUUUUGCAUGUACCUUAUGAAUAAGGACCGGCUAAUUCCGUGCCAGCAGCC
rnacentral:rRNA from 1 species